UACCGGUCAUAAUAUGCAACACCUUCAUGAUAAUAUUUCAUUCUCAAUAUCUCUAACUCUCGAGGUUUUUUCACUUUCUCUUUUGCAAGCCCUAAUUUCUGACAUCGUCAAGCAGCACGAGCAAAAUGCCUGUGGCGACGACACCUUUGCUCGCCUUUAUGCAGCUGUCGAAUCAAGCAUUCAGACCACUCUCAACAAAUUAGAGGCUGCUUCCACAUAGAGCAACAGGGCAGUUGCUGCAGCUUUGAAUGCGGAGAUAGCGGCGACGCCGACCACCAUGUAGAGUCGCUGGAAAUUGUGUUUCUGGAAGCUUUCGGAGAUCGACGAAGAAUCGAGGGGGAUGACCGUUGGGAGAGUGAAGAAGAAAGAGGAAAGUUCAGUGGUUGAGGGUCAGAUUCAGGCGAGGAAGAUGUUUGAGAGGGAGAAGGUGAAAUCGGUGUGUGAGAGUAACAAGAAGACUGUGAAGUAGGGUAGGAUGGUGGCGGGUAGGUAUAAUGGCGGUGGUGAUGUGAGGAAGAGGUUGUUGCCAGAGGGAGGGAGUGAGAUUAGGGUUAAGAAGAGGCACUUUGUGUUCCGGUGAAUAGGCUUGUCCAAGCUCCUGAUUCAGUUUCCGUAUGCUUUCUGUUCUUUUUCCUGUUUUCCUACAAUUCAUUAUAUUUCUUGGCCUUUAUCUAACUUAUUAAUGAAAGUUCCAAAGGACUGAUUUUAUGGUCUCUUUCAUAUGAAAUUUAUUGCGUCUAUAAUACCCCAUUGAAUAAUAGUAAAGCAAACCUUAGGAGGUGGAAUGAGACAGAUUGGCAUCCUUUGUGCUGCAGCACUUGUUGCCUUGCAGGAAAAUAUUGGAAAGCUAGAUUUUUAGCGAUGGAUUGAGGGAACUUAAAGGACUAAGAGUGAACAACCUUGUUGGAGAGACCAAUAUAGCGAGUAUUUAGAAUCUAGUGCAGUGUAACUUGUUUAUACGAUGAAACUUCAUUGUUGCUCUGCUUAUUUGUGUUUUGAUGGAUGACCAUAAUAUUGUCCUUCUUCUGCAGUUGCUUGAUACUGGUGUGGAGCUUGGUAAAAAGGUAGAUGGUGAAUUACUGGCACUUCAGAAGGAGUGUUAGUAGCGCUAAAUGAGGCAAGGACACACAUAACCAAGUUGGUAUUGCUCACAAUGGUGGCUUAGUGCCAUUGCUCAAGCUUCUUGACUCAAAAAAUGGGUCUUUGCAACAUAAUGCUGCUUUUGCUUUAUACAACCUUGCAGACAAUGAGGAUAAUGUGUAUGAUUCAUUAGGGUAGGUGGAGUUCAGAGGCUGCAAGAUGGAGAAUUUAUCAUUCAAGAUCGACCAUCUACCAAGGUUCAUGCUCCUCCAGGCGGUGGAUCUUCCUUGCGAUACCUCUUUGGUGGUCCUCCCGGGAACUAAUUAAUUCAUGGAUGUGGUUCAAAUCUACCAUGAUGAUGAAUCAUGUGUAAAAUAGAUAGUGUUGUCAUUGCCUUGUGUUUAGUCUAGUGAAUUUUAUAACAUAUUAGAGUUGAAGUGUUGGUGAAUGUAUUUUUAUUAUGAAUGGAAUCAAUUGUAAUUGGAAUGUAAUCAAUUAUGAAUGAUUAUAA